UACAGAGGGUGCGAGCGUUAAUCGGAAUUACUGGGCGUAAAGCGUGCGCAGGCGGUUUUGUAAGCCAGAUGUGAAAUCCCCGGGCUCAACCUGGGAAUGGCAUUUGGGACUGCAAGGCUUGAGUGCGGCAGAGGAGACUGGAAUUCCUGGUGUAGCAGUGAAAUGCGUAGAUAUCAGGAGGAAUACCGAUGGCGAAGGCAGGUCUCUGGGCUGACACUGACGCUCAUGCACGAAAGCGUGGGGAGCAAACAGG
rnacentral:rRNA from 1 species